AAGCAUAUCAAUAAGCGGAGGAAAAGAAACCAACAGGGAUUGCCCUAGUAACGGCGAGUGAAGCGGCAACAGCUCAAAUUUGAAAUCUGGCUCUCGGGCCCGAGUUGUAAUUUGUAGAGGAUACUUUUGAUGCGGUGCCUUCCGAGUUCCCUGGAACGGGACGCCAUAGAGGGUGAGAGCCCCGUCUGGUUGGAUGCCAAAUCUCUGUAAAGUUCCUUCGACGAGUCGAGUAGUUUGGGAAUGCUGCUCUAAAUGGGAGGUAUAUGUCUUCUAAAGCUAAAUAUUGGCCAGAGACCGAUAGCGCACAAGUAGAGUGAUCGAAAGAUGAAAAGCACUUUGAAAAGAGAGUUAAAAAGUACGUGAAAUUGUUGAAAGGGAAGCGUUUAUGACCAGACUUGGACUUGGUUAAUCAUCUGGGGUUCUCCCCAGUGCACUUUUCCAGUUCAGGCCAGCAUCAGUUUUCGCCGGGGGAUAAAGGCUUCGGGAAUGUAGCUCUCUUCGGGGAGUGUUAUAGCCCGUUGUGUAAUACCCUGGUGGAGACUGAGGUUCGCGCUUCUGCAAGGAUGCUGGCGUAAUGGUCAUCAACGACCCGUCUUGAAACACGGACCAAGGAGUCGUCUUCGUAUGCGAGUGUUCGGGUGUCAAACCCCUACGCGUAAUGAAAGUGAACGCAGGUGAGAGCUUCGGCGCAUCAUCGACCGAUCCUGAUGUUCUCGGAUGGAUUUGAGUAAGAGCAUACGGGGCCGGACCCGAAAGAAGGUGAACUAUGCCUGUAUAGGGUGAAGCCAGAGGAAACUCUGGUGGAGGCUCGCAGCGGUUCUGACGUGCAAAUCGAUCGUCAAAUAUGGGCAUGGGGGCGAAAGACUAAUCGAACCUUCUAGUAGCUGGUUUCCGCCGAAGUU
rnacentral:rRNA from 1 species